AGAGCGAACGCUGGCGGCAGGCCUAACACAUGCAAGUCGAGCGCCCGUAGCAAUACGGGAGCGGCAGACGGGAUAGUAACACGUGGGAACGCGCCCUUCGGUUCGGAAUAACUCAGGGAAACUUGAGCUAAUACCGAAUACGCCCUUACGGGGAAAGAUUUAUUGCCGAAGGAACGGCCCGCGUCCGAUUAGCUAGUUGGUGAGGUAAUGGCUCACCAAGGCUACGAUCGGUAGCUGGUCUGAGAGGAUGACCAGCAUCACUGGGACUGAGACACGGCCCAGACUCCUACGGGAGGCAGCAGUGGGGAAUAUUGGACAAUGGGCGCAAGCCUGAUCCAGCCAUGCCGCGUGGAUGAUGAAGGCCUUAGGGUUGUAAAGUCCUUUUAACGGGGAAGAUAAUGACGGUACCCGUAGAAUAAGCCCGGCUAACUUCGCGCCAGCAGCCGC
rnacentral:rRNA from 1 species